rnacentral:lncRNA from 1 species
ACAUACCGACAGCGGAUUUUUGCAUACCGGCACGGUAGCACCCGUGGAUUCGAAUGAGAUUAUAUUUGAUCCUCCCAGGUGGUGUUUCCAUCACAGGUGGUGUCCAUAUCCAAAUACUGUAUAUGGCCGAUGUAGGCCGGGAUGUAGGGGUAUCAGGGCGACCACUGCAUCACGGCUCGGACAGCACCAUGGACCAGAGGUACUCCGCCUGCACUGCACAAAUCCGAAGGGAUGCCCAAAAUACGGCCCACAUAGAAGGGGGAACAAGGAAAACGAUCAAGGAAGAGGGAGUUAGCCAACCAGGGCCACCCCACCCCUGUCAGGCACUAACCGCCAAAGCCAAAGCCACCAUUCCGUGGGGACGACUCGGAGCUCUCGACGACUUUGCAGGGCAGGGGGGCUCAUGAGGAGCCACGAGCGAGCCGGACGAGAAAUCGGUUAACCACUGAGACCAGAUCCACUCUGCGCCCUUGUUGUUCUCUUACCCUGCUUCCCGCGCGGCGUCCCUUACCCAACUACCUAUAGCGGCUUUUCACUGUUUAUUUUACUCAACUACUUGCGCACAAUCUUGCAGGAUGGGUUACGACGCAAGGGCCUGAGAUUUUUGGGUCCUAGGGGCCAAACAUCACUGUAAACCGCAGCUCUUCGCUCCCGUCGGUGUACGGCAAGAACGGCGGUGCGGAGUUCUGGCCGUUCUCGAUUGGUUUCAC